GAGAAUGUAGCUCAAUCGUAGAGUGCAUGCCUAGCAUGCAUGAGGUCCUGGGUUCAGUCCCCAGUACCUCU
rnacentral:tRNA from 1 species